GACGAACGCUGGCGGCGUGCUUAACACAUGCAAGUCGAACGGAAAGGCCCUGCUUGCCGGGUGCUCGAGUGGCGAACGGGUGAGUAACACGUGGGUGAUCUGCCCCUUAUUUUGGGAUAAGCCUGGGAAACUGGGUCUAAUACUGGAUAGGACCAUGCUGUAGGUGGUGUGGUGGAAAGAUUAGUUUCGGUAAGGGAUGAGCUCGCGGCCUAUCAGCUUGUUGGUGGGGUAAUGGCCUACCAAGGCGUCGACGGGUAGCCGGCCUGAGAGGGUGGACGGCCACAUUGGGACUGAGAUACGGCCCAGACUCCUACGGGAGGCAGCAGUGGGGAAUAGUGCACAAUGGGCGCAAGCCUGAUGCAGCGACGCCGCGUGGGGGAUGACGGCCUUCGGGUUGUAAACUCCUUUCAGCCAUGACGAAGCCCUUGUGGUGACGGUAGUGGUAGAAGAAGCACCGGCUAACUACGUG
rnacentral:rRNA from 1 species